rnacentral:lncRNA from 1 species
UAAAUUCGGCCACUAAAAUAGUUGAAUUCUAGUUUUUAAUACUGUUAUUUAGUGGAGUAGACCACAUUAUUUAGCUUUACCUUAAAAAGAUGAAAUAAACAAAAAUAAAAACUCUGUAAUUAGAACUCAGUUCUCUGAAAAUUCCAUCUCUCCUUCUCAAAACCUUGAAAACCCUAGACCUUAUCUCUCAAACCCGUAAGAUCCCUAAAUCUUCAUCUCUCAAGAUUUCAUUUUUUCGAUUUCUUCUUAUAUUGUUAGAGAGACAUGGGUAGCCGUUGGAUGGAGUACUGAUGUUCUUCCUUCUGCAAAGUUGUUGAAUAUUGCAUUGUUCUUAAAUCAGAUACAAGUUUGUGGGCUGAUUUUUGAGUAUGUCAAAAAUUAUCCUUUUAUAUGUAUUCUAUAAUGGUUUAUCUAGUUAUUCCAUAUUGUUUGGGUCAAUUCUUCUCCAAAAGUUAUAACAAAUCUAGCUAGGGCUUGAGCUCCAGAUAUAUUUUGGGAUUCUCGAUAAACUAUGUCCAAUAAAGUAAAUUUCUUAUCAUUAUUGGCGACGAGGUAGUGAUUUCAUUCCAAGAUAAUUUUUUAUGGAUUUACAUUGUGAUUACAAAUUUUUGUUUUUUGAUUGUUAAACUAAAACGUUUUUCUUUGUUUGCUUGCUUUAUUAUUUUUCGCUUUUAAUGUCAAUGUAUAAAUAUUCAUAUGAGUUGUGACAUAUUAUCACAGAAAUGUCUUACUGAAUUCAAAUGUAACGAUAAAGAUAUUUUGUCAUGAAUUUGAAUUUUAAAUGUAAAUUGCAUCAGUUUAUGACAUGAUAAUUUUGGAAGGGUCUAUGGGGGAUAUUUGUUACUUCUUGCGCUAUUAAAUGUGAUGGUCACAUGUAAUGCGAGAAGAAAAUAGAAGAAUAUUAGACGGUUUAUGUUGUGAAAGAAGGGUGUUAAUAAUUAGUUUAGGAGUUUUGAACUUCAAAACUUGUACCAGGAAUGAGAUUAUUUUUCAGUGGUUAUAAAAGGAUGUAGCACAGUAGUUAAAAUUUAUCAUGUUCAUUUGAUUGUUUGUAUAUCUAAGUAGUUGAGUAAUCAAUAGAGUUAGAGGCUCCCUUAUUGAGUUAUGGUUUCUUUUCUUUUUCCAUAGAAAUAAUGUACUAUGUUUUGUUCUAAUUUUGAGCUUAUGUUUGAUCAGUGGAUUAAGAUAUUCUUUGUGUUUGGCCAUGAUACUCCCUUUGAGUUAACUUGUACCUAUUUUCACAUCUUAGAUUUGAUAUUUGCAUUAUCCCAGCACUUUUACAAGCUUCAAUCCAUUGAGAUGUAUAAUAUUCUUGUGAAGCCAAUCUCAUUGGUGCAAAGUUAUGUAGAAAUUCUUAGUUUCACUAUUCUUUGUUUGGCGUAUCUCUAGUUAUUUUUCUUAUCUGCUAAUGAAAUCAUGAUCUUGGUUGUUAAUAUAUUUUUUUCGAUGUCAGUUGCUACAUUUCAGGAUUAGCUAUUGUUAUCCUUUAUCUUAUUUGACUUUUUUGACUUCUUGGAGAAUAAUAGGAGCAAAAAUAUGAGUAUGCAGUUAAUUUAGGUUGAGCAACUGUACCCUUUUUCCAAAGUAAUAUCAUUAAACUGGAAAAUACUAUUAUUUGUCAUGACUUGAGUGACAUUCAAAUUUGUGAACAAACUAUAUCCCCCGGUUAUCAUAAAUAAGUAGUUGAAAAGUGAAGUAUUUGAGCAGUGCUAGAAAAGAAAUACUUUUUUUUGUUUGAGUUGCUAUGUCAUUGUUUAGAAUGUCUUGAUUUCAUUUACAUUAUUCUCUAUGCAAGGAAAUUACUUCCUUGAAUGUUAUGAAUGGGCAGCUUUAAAAGAUAGUAAAACAUGCAACUAAUUCUGAUGUCCUUAAGAUGGUCUAGCUGAAAAUAUUGUGACCAACAUAUUAGUUGAACUACUAGAAUUCCCUACUACCUUAUUUCAUUUGAGCACAAUGAAGUAUGCUAUCCAAAUGGUUAGUUAUUGGAAAUGCUUUCGUGCACAGUAGCAUAUUUUAUUUUUAUUUAUUUCCUAGUUGUAUAGGCUAAUAUGGUGUUAAUAUGUGCAGGUACAAGUGAAGGUCCAAGUAUAUUCAAACAGCAAGAUUUUGAACACAAAGUGCAGAGAAUUUUCACCUUAAUGAAAUAUAUGAAAAAUACCUUUAACAAAAAAUUUCCUCGAAUAAUAGAGUCCAUAUGAAGAUGCUACACUAGGAGAAAUUUUGUUCCCUUAGAGGCUGUACAGAGUUUAACCAUUGCACCAAGAGGUACUAAGAUGAAAUAUUAGGAUAUAGUUUGAAUAUUAAUGUAGUUCAAGACUAGCAGCUUGAUGGUUUUUAGCUUUAAUUUGUUGUAGUUAUGCACUAUUUUAGACUUUGCUGUAGAGAUGCAAUCUCCAUUGAGUUCAGCUUCUUGACGUACUCAGUUUUAACAACAGUUGAGACUAAUUAAUACCGUGUGAAGUUCUCAGGGCGAAGUGGAUGCAGAAAUGAAGAUUUGUUGAAUAUGAAGAUAUUUUACCAAGGCAGUUUCAUAGUAGAAAAAAAGGCUUAGCAGAGGGGAUUCAAACCACAACAAAAACAUCGGCCUCUUACACUAGACAUUAUUCCUGCAGACAAAAGCUAAUACAACAUUUAUCCAAUUAUGUUCCUUACUGCUACAAAACUAAGUUAUUUCUUUACGAUUGUUGGUUGAUCUAAUUUUUGCCUUUAAAGUAAUAUUUUUAACUUAUUAUAUUAGUUUAAUUACUCACUUUGGAAUGUAUUAAAUAUACUAGUAUAGCGAGGAUAUUUAGAUGGUUGUACUAUGUAAAGUUCAUAUUCAGAAAUAUGUUGGAGGUAAGGUAUAUGUCCCCCUCCUUGUAUUUGACAUGUUAAUGAAAUCUACAUCAAGGUCUCAAUGAUUUAACCUUGAUGUGUAUAUAUCAAAUCUUGAUGUUACUG